UUUCUGAUCUCUCUCUCCGAAUCCGGAUCCAUUCUCAUUCUCAAUCUCGAUCUCAUUCACCUCUCUCUCUCUCUCUCUCUCUCUCUCUCUCUCACGCCGGUGAUUCAGGAUCGACCUCCUUGCUCUUCUCCAGCAGAUCUUGUUGUCAGUUAGCGUCGGGAAUGGUGAAGGCGUCGGUGACGCCGAUUUGGAUGAGGAGGCAGGCUAGGUGGCUGCCGAGGGUGGGGUCGGCGUAGUUGAACACGGUGGAGGGGACUGAGUUUUGAACGGUGGAAGCGGCGCCGUUUGGUAUACAGCCGGCAUCGUGGUUCUCGGCCUUGCAAACGUCAAUUGAGCCAAUCUCGACUCGGCAUUGUCAACGAUUUCGCAGACGGCGCUUAAAUUUCAGAGAAGCCUCCGCCUUCUCUCUGUCAAACAGGUGGAGCUGGCGAAGGUGCUGUGGAGAUGGGGCAAAGUCAUCUAUUCAAUUAUUAGGCCGAGCCAGGAGUCGAUGAUGAGGAAAAGAAAGUGCUCUUUGAUCAGUGGUUGAUUUCGAAAAUCAUGUGAAUUUGAGUAGUGAAGGCUCUAUUGACCAAGAGAUCAUCCGGCCAACCAAGAAAUUUUGAAAUGAAGCUUGGUGUUGUAGGUGGCAAAAUAAUGCCUAUGGUUAGUGUAGAGUGGUAGAGCUUGACAAGAAGAAACAUCAAUGGUGGCCAUUUGAAAUAUGACACUAGUAUCACAAUAUGGACAGUAGCUUUCUACAACUAUUGUAAUAGAUUUUCACAACUAUGGUAGUGGUUUUUUACAACUAUGAAAGUAGCUUUUUACAUGGUUAUAUCAUUGUUGGAUCCUGCAUACUUUUUAUAUCAUUGAAUUUGUUUUCUU